AGGACGAACGCUGGCGGCGUGCUUAAUACAUGCAAGUCGAACGAGAUCCAUCCAGUGGCAACACUGGUGAAGAUCUAGUGGCGAACGGGUGAGUAACACGUGAGGAACCUACCCCGAAGACCGGGAUAACCCUUCGAAAGAGGGGCUAAUACCGGAUACCCCCUCCAGGCCGCAUGGCCAGGCGAGGAAAUGGAUUCCGCUUCGGGAGGGCCUCGCGGCCUAUCAGCUUGUUGGUGAGGUAACGGCUCACCAAGGCAUCGACGGGUAGCUGGUCUGAGAGGACGAUCAGCCACACUGGGACUGAGACACGGCCCAGACUCCUACGGGAGGCAGCAGUAGGGAAUCUUGCGCAAUGGGCGAAAGCCUGACGCAGCAACGCCGCGUGGGGGAUGAAGGCUCUCGGGUUGUAAACCCCUUUCAGCAGGGACGAAAUUGACGGUACCUGCAGAAGAAGCCCGGCCAACUACGCGCCAGCAGCCGCGGU
rnacentral:rRNA from 1 species